GUAGGUGAACCUGCGGAAGGAUCAUUAAAGAGUAAGGGUGCUCAGCGCCCGACCUCCAACCCUUUGUUGUUAAAACUACCUUGUUGCUUUGGCGGGACCGCUCGGUCUCGAGCCGCUGGGGAUUCGUCCCAGGCGAGUGCCCGCCAGAGUUAAACCAAACUCUUGUUAUUAAACCGGUCGUCUGAGUUAAAAUUUUGAAUAAAUCAAAACUUUCAACAACGGAUCUCUUGGUUCUC
rnacentral:misc_RNA from 1 species